GAGACUCUGUGCGCGUGCAUAUCAAUAAGCGGAGGAAAAGAAACUAACUAGGAUUCCCUUAGUAACGGCGAGUGAAGCGGGAAGAGCUCAAAUUUGAAAUCUUCAAGGUUCUACCUUGACGAAUUGUAGUUUAUAAGAAGUGUUUUCUGUUAGUAGAGUUGGCUAAAAGUUCUUUGGAAUAGGACAUCAUAGAGGGUGAGAAUCCCGUAUUUGACCAUUUACUUUCCAGCUGUGUGAUACACUUUCAAAGAGUCGGAUUGUUUGGGAAUGCAGUCCAAAAUGGGUGGUAAAUUUCAUCUAAAGCUAAAUAUUGGCGAGAGACCGAUAGCGAACAAGUACCGUGAGGGAAAGAUGAAAAGAACUUUGAAAAGAGAGUUAAACAGUACGUGAAAUUGUCAAAAGGGAAGCGUUUGACACCAGUGUUGUUUUUCGAAAAUCAAUUCAUAAUGUUUUGAUUUCUGAGGAGUGAUUGACUUCAUCAGGCUUGCUUCUUUCUUUUCGGAAAUUAUUGAAUGCACUUUUCAGUUAACAAGUCAACAUCAAUUUCUUUUGUUGUAAAAGGGUAAGAGGAAGGUGGCUUGCGCUUCGGCUCAAGUGUUUAUAGCCUUUUAUCUCUGCAAUCGGAGAGAUUGAGGUCUGCAGCGUAGAUCCUUCGGGGUUAGAUACAUUGGUGCUAAGCUAUAGCCUUGUAUAGACAACUUGUUGACUAUGCUCAGUCAUGUAGCUUACUCGCUGAUGCUAUUUUACCUACGCUUAGGAUGUUGACGAUCAGCUGAGCGCG
rnacentral:rRNA from 1 species